AUAGGGAGAUAUGAAGGUUGCCAAAAUCGUUUUUGAAGCCAGCAGGUUUUCUGUGAUUUUGAAGGCUAUUGAAGCAUUCUCCUUCAGGCCCUGCAUUUUGGGCCUGCUUUCCAGCACGCAUACUCUGCAAAGGAGAGCUUGCUCUGCUAUUCCUGAUACCUGAAGGUCUCAGGGUGACACGCUUCUGCUGGACAUUCACCUAUCCAAGCAGAGACAUCAGUAAAGAUUCAUCACCAAUGAAUCCUCUUAACAAGAUGCUCUUGCACACACAGACAUUUUAAUGAGCCUGCCUGAAUUUGUGGCUGACAUCUGCUAAAAUGGCGGGGGGGGGGGAGAGAAUGAUUAGAGGCUCUUGUCAUGGGGAGAAAGAGGAAUCAUACACAUGGCCAGUGGGGCAGCAGGGUCACCUGGCCUAUAACCCUCUCAGCAGAAUCAAUCUCUGUGGACUGGUAGGUGAUUGGCAGGUGUGCAGGUGAGGUAUGAAGAGCAAAGGGAGAGAAGAGAGCAGAACUCUGAGCAUCCCUGGGCAAAAAGCAGGCCUUGCUAUUGUCUCACUCUCCUGUGGUACAUCUUCAGGAGGACAGAAUAGAUUGGCCUUUUGAAUUUUCAGAGAAUGUCUUUCACCAGUUUGUAGAAUCUAUUAUUUGGCCUCCAGUGCAUGGCCUCACCUGGUAGGAAUGGAUGACAAAAGGUGGGAAACAAAUGUGCUACGGAGAGCAGCUGCCAUGGGCCCUUCUCCCAUGACUCCCAGCCACUGUCUUCAACAGCAGCUGCUUUUGACUUUCUGUUUGUUAUAUUUUAUAUUGUGUCAUCAUGGUAGUUUCAGGAAAUGUUUUCUUUAACAAAAUGCAAUUCUAUUUGGCUUGCUGCCUCCUAGGCAUAUGUAGUCUUCCCAUUUCAAUCAAGUUUGUCUUAAUGUUCUAUUAAACAUGAAUGACUAAUUUUAAUUAUAUUUUCUGUUAAACUGUAGAAUAUUUGA